rnacentral:rRNA from 1 species
UACGGGGGGUGCGAGCGUUGUCCGGAAUCACUGGGCGUAAAGGGCGCGUAGGUGGUUUGAUAAGGGUGUGGUGAAAGUCCGGGGCUCAACCCCGGAUCUGCCGUGCCGACUGUCAAACUCGAGGGCUGUAGAGGCAGACGGAAUUCCGGGUGUAGCGGUGAAAUGCGCAGAUAUCAGGAGGAACACCAGUGGCGAAGGCGGUGAUCUGGGCCGACACUGACGCUGUAGAGCGAAAGCGUGGGGAGCGAACAGG